AGUGAACGCUGGCGGUAGACCUAACACAUGCAAGUCGAACGGUAGCACAGUAAGAGCUUGCUCUUACGGGUGGCGAGUGGCGGACGGGUGAGGAAUACAUCGGAAUCUACUUUUUCGUGGGGGAUAACGUAGGGAAACUUACGCUAAUACCGCAUACGACCUACGGGUGAAAGCAGGGGAUCUUCGGACCUUGCGCGAUUGAAUGAGCCGAUGUCGGAUUAGCUAGUUGGCGGGGUAAAGGCCCACCAAGGCGACGAUCCGUAGCUGGUCUGAGAGGAUGAUCAGCCACACUGGAACUGAGACACGGUCCAGACUCCUACGGGAGGCAGCAGUGGGGAAUAUUGGACAAUGGGCGCAAGCCUGAUCCAGCCAUACCGCGUGGGUGAAGAAGGCCUUCGGGUUGUAAAGCCCUUUUGUUGGGAAAGAAAAGCAGCAGGUUAAUACCCCGCUGUUCUGACGGUACCCAAAGAAUAAGCACCGGCUAACUUCGUG
rnacentral:rRNA from 1 species